AUUGAACGCUGGCGGCAUGCCUUACACAUGCAAGUCGAACGGUAACGCGGGGCAACCUGGCGACGAGUGGCGAACGGGUGAGUAAAGUAUCGGAACGUGCCCAAUAGUGGGGGAUAGCCCGGCGAAAGCCGGAUUAAUACCGCAUGAGACCUGAGGGUGAAAGCGGGGGACUCGCAAGAGCCUCGCGCUGUUGGAGCGGCCGAUAUCAGAUUAGGUAGUUGGUGGGGUAAAGGCCUACCAAGCCGACGAUCUGUAGCUGGUCUGAGAGGACGACCAGCCACACUGGGACUGAGACACGGCCCAGACUCCUACGGGAGGCAGCAGUGGGGAAUUUUGGACAAUGGGCGCAAGCCUGAUCCAGCCAUGCCGCGUGAGUGAAGAAGGCCUCGGUUG
rnacentral:rRNA from 1 species